rnacentral:rRNA from 1 species
CCUACGGGUGGCAGCAGUAGGGAAUAUUGCGCAAUGGGCGAAAGCCUGAUGCAGCGACGCCGCGUGGGUGAUGAAGGUCUUCGGAUCGUAAACCUCUGUCAUCAGAGAAGAACGUGCACUGGGCUAAUCAUCAGUGAAUUGACGGUACCUGCCCAGAAAGCACCGGCUAACUCCGUGCCAGCAGCCGCGGUAAUACGGAGGGUGCGAGCGUUAAUCGGAUUUACUGGGCGUAAAGCGCACGUAGGCGGUAUGUCAAGUCAGAGGUGAAAUCCUCGCGCUGAACCUGGGUACUGCAUUUGAAACUGGCAGACUGGAGUGUGUGAGAGGAGAGUGGAACUCCAGGUGUAGGAGUGAAAUGCGUAGAUAUAUGGAGGAACAUCAGUGGCGAAGGCGACUAUCUGGCACAUAACUGACGCUGAGGAGCGAAAGCGUGGGUAGCAAACAGGAUUAGAUACCCGUGUAGUC